AAGGCCUUCGGGUUGUUAAAGUACUUUCAGCAGUGAGGAAGGUGGGUAUGUUAAUAGCAUACUCUAUUUUGACGUUAGCUGCAGAAGAAGCACCGGCUAACUCCGUGCCAGCAGCCGCGGUAAUACGGAGGGUGCGAGCGUUAAUCGGAAUUACUGGGCGUAAAGCGCAUGCAGGUGGUUUGUUAAGUCAGAUGUGAAAGCCCGGGGCUCAACCUCGGAAUUGCAUUUGAAACUGGCAAACUAGAGUACUGUAGAGGGGGUAGAAUUUCAGGUGUAGCGGUGAAAAUGCGUAGAGAUCUGAAGGAAUACCGGUGGCGAAGGCGGCCCCCUGGACAGAUACUGACACUCAGAUGCGAAAGCGUGGGGAGCAAACAGGAUUAGAUACCCUGGUAG
rnacentral:rRNA from 1 species